CAUGGCAGGGGAAGGUUGAUCCUAGUCCCCUUUGGAGCUAACAGGAGUCUUAGGAAACUCUUACCAGAAUUCCAGAUUCUUCCUUUAUAACUGCACUGUGGACUGUGAGGAAUGGUAGAGCAGUACUUCUGGGACUGAACGGUGAUGUGGAAGGACGGAAAUGCAAGACAAAGAGGAUAUUUUGUGAGAAAAAAACUCUUCAGAGAAACCAUCUGCCAUCUGUGUACAACAAAAGGAAGACAAUCCUUAGAGUUGAAUGUUACAAAACAAAAACAUAAUGCAACGUAUAAAGCUAUUUUUUUCCUGUUCUCUUCCAGCUGCUAAUCUUUGUCAAAAAAUGUCUGAAGCUGUUGCUCUGAGGAAUUGUCUUAGCAUUGAUACUGAAGAAGACAUUUACGAGGGAUGGGAGAAGAGACCCCAAAGAGUCACUGUAAUUGUAGCACAGGAGAGAGAGAAAGCUAGAUGCUUGUGUCCUCUACUCUUCCUCCGAGUUUAUAAAACAAGCCUUUGAAAUAUGUUACCCUUCCUUCUGUCCUGUGGUGUCCCUGAAGACAAGGAAACUUUUUCUGACCAGAGGAUUACAGAAACCACGGACCGUUUGUGAAAUGGGCUGUGGAAACUGGUUACUAUGACAACUCAGAAGGAAUGAAGUAAAGGUGAAUACAGAUAUAUAGAUGCAUAUCUCUGCAUUCAUUGACUCAAUGUAGUUGCAUACACUAGACUCUGAAGUACCAGCUGCCAGGACUGUGACACUGUUUGAAUUGUUGCCACAUUUAUUAAUGAAACCAUCUGUCACUGUAAGAUAAACCUGAGGGUUUUUUUUUUUGUUGUUGUUGUUGUUUUUUUUCCCCGGAAACAGCAGAGAGCAUCCAAAAAUCAACAAACCUGAGUAUUCGGUAUGACGAACUCAACACAAAUAUCCUUGCGACAGGACUCUAUUUUAUAUUACAUAACAGAGUUCAAAACACAAAAUGAAAAAAGAAAUCUUCAUUGUUGCCGCCCACAAAAUCUUUUCCAAAGUUAAAAACAUUUCAAGCAAUUGCAGGUGGUAAAAUAGAACCUUUGUCAGAGGGUACUAUUGUCUUCCUCAUCACUGUCAGAAUUUUGGAUCAAGUAGAAUCAAAUCUCAGAAGCUGAAUAUAUUGAAUGACAGUAUCUGGUACACCAAUUGAUGUGACUCAUGCUGGACAUCUCAUGUCUUUAUUGAAGGAAAAUCACUUUUCUGUAAAACUUUUCUAGAACUCUCAGCACAUUAAUGCCUCUUUCAGGUGUUUUCAAAGGCAAUGAAAGAUAUCCAUAGUCAGUGGGUGCAGCAUUCAGGAAUCUCCCCAAACAAAGAAAAAACAGUGAUAGAAAAGAGUAAUAGUGUAGUCCUUCAAAUACUAUCUAGUACCGUAUUGUUUCACUACCUUACACUACUCCAAUGCCACACUGAUGGUGAAGAAAAUAUAUAAAAAUCAAUAUCAGGUCCCUUCUGAAUUCCUUAAUAGCAUAUACUUAAUUAAAACUGCUAAAUGACCAGAGUGUUUAAAAUUACUUUGUGACUGCAAGGGUUUCUGAGAUGUUCUUGACGACACUGCAAAACUGUUAAUCAGAACAUCAAGACCAAGAGAAGAGGAGGGAGAUUUCCUGAUGAUCCAGUAGUCUGCUGAAAUCUUCAAUGUAUCAUAAUUGUAAAACAUUUGAACAGCUUUGCUGAUAGAGUCAGUAGGUAAAUUUCUUAAUGAAUAAAACAUUCACAGCCAGGUAGAAGACCUGGGAAAUGGCCUUCUCCAGUUGACAGUUCUAACUGCACUGGAAAAAAAGUUAAACUCUUCGGGUAGUUAUGAGUAGCAUAUGAAGAACAAUCUUCUGAUAUGUGAGAUUUCCUUUAUGAACUAUGUAAACCAACACCAAAAAGAAAACCUGUAGUCAGCAAGAACUUCAUCAGAGAUUGUGAAUUCUGAAUUUUAAUUACAAAAUUUGUCUUUCUGUUCAUCAUCAUUAAUUCCUGGUAUUAUUGUGACAGCAAUUUUUAUUUUUAUUUUUAAUCUUUGACAUUAAAAAAUUAGGAGAGAAAGGUGAAAGAAGAAAGGUUUCAUACAUAGGAAAAGUAGCCUCUAGUUUAGACUAUCAGCAAAAUUAGGAGUUGGGUUUAACCUUUUCUUUCUACAACAAAGGGUUGUCUGAAUUGUCUGUUCUCUAUGGUUCAAAUGCCAAACAAGAUUUUUUUAAUCAAUAGUUGUUUACCAGAUGAAUGAAUGAAAUAGCUUCUAAGUUGUUCAGGCCCAAGAAAGGUCAUUUCAGGUUUCAUAUAUAUGCAGUCUGCAGUCAGUCACUACCGUACAUUUCUACAUAGCCAUUCAUUGUUAAACAUUUUUCUUGCUCCUAGCACUAUCUGUACUCUUGGUCUUUCUAUUUUUUGUAUCUUGUCUUUCCAUCUUGAAAAAUCGAGGAAGUCUCUCUUCAUUCCCUUUUGUCUCUUAUAUUGAAGUGCUGAGGUGCUACUCUCCCAUCUUUUGGUAGAAGGAUCAUCUUGGUUCUAAGCAAGUACUGUGCAUGCACUAUUCCUGGAAUUCAGUUCAUCCAAGAGGAUUCAUUAGCUAUCCAGCAGCAGAAUAAGAGGACACUCAUUCUUAAAUCAGAAAAGAUCAUAUCAUCUUCAAUUUCUGUGUUAGGAGAAUGACACUGCAGUCAAUGGUGCCCUUU